GGGCCGCUAGCUCAGUCGGUUAGAGCACAGUCCUGAUAAGACUGGGGUCCUUGGUUCGAUUCCAAGGCGGCCCACCA
rnacentral:tRNA from 1 species